rnacentral:rRNA from 1 species
AACGAACGCUGGCGGCAGGCUUAACACAUGCAAGUCGAACGGUUGUAGCAAUACAGCAGUGGCGCACGGGUGAGUAACGCGUGGGAAUAUACCGAGAAGUGGGGAAUAACUCCGGGAAACUGGAGAUAAUACCGCAUACGCCCGAGAGGGGAAAGAUUUAUCGCUUUUCGAUUAGCCCGCGUGAGAUUAGGUAGUUGGUGGGGUAAUGGCCUACCAAACCGACGAUCUCUAGCUGGUCUGAGAGGAUGAUCGGCCACACUGGAACUGAGACACGGUCCAGACUCCUACGGGAGGCAGCAGUGGGGAAUAUUGGACAAUGGGCGAAAGCCUGAUCCAGCCAUGCCGCGUGAAUGAUGAAGGCCUUAGGGUUGUAAAGUUCUUUCGCCGAUGAAGAUAAUGACGGUAGUCGGAGAAGAAGCCCCGGCUAACUUCGUGCCAGCCGCCGCCGUAA